AUGCUUCUACUUUCUGUAUGGAGCUGGGAGCGUUUGCCUGUUGGACGCCCGAAGAGCGUCAAGUUUAAUCCUUGGGAUGAAGAUGGCGAGUUACGGCGCCCAGCUUGGGCUUACAAGUGGGAUGUGGUAUUCGAGAUGACGAACGAUGUCAAUCUCAUGUACCAAAAGUACAUUGCCGAGUUGGACACGAUUAUGCCUGAGCAGGUAACGAGGUCAUUACUUCAGUCAUUUCUCAUGCUUGCCUGA
rnacentral:rRNA from 1 species